AGAAUGAACGCUGGCGGCGUGCUUAACACAUGCAAGUCGAGCGAGGCCAGGGGGGCGAACUCCCUGAGUCGAGCGGCGGACGGGUGAGUAACACGUGGGUAACCUACCCGGAAGUGGGAAUACCUCGGGGAAACUCGAGCUAAUACCGCAUAACAUCUCGAGGACGAAAGUUCUUGUGAUCAAAGCGGGGCCGCAAGGCCUCGUGCUACCGGAUGGGCCCGCGCCCGAUUAGCUAGUUGGCGAGGUAAUGGCUCACCAAGGCGACGAUC
rnacentral:rRNA from 1 species